GCGGAGGAAAAGAAACUAACAAGGAUUCCCCCAGUAACGGCGAGUGAAGCGGGAAGAGCUCAUGUUGUGAAUCUGCGGUGGAAUUGUGGUCUAUAGAUACUUGCACUAUGAAACCGAACCAAGUCCCUUGGAACAGGGCAGCUGAGAGGGUGAGACUCCCGUACGUUUGGUUUUUGGAGCACGUGUCAACGAGUCGAGUUGUUUGGGAUUGCAGCUCAAAGCAGGUGGUAAAUUCCAUCGAAAGCUAAAUAAGGGUGGCAGACCGAUAGCGUACAAGUACCGUGAGGGAAAGAUGCAAAGCCGCGCGAAAGCGCUGUUAAAGAGUACCUGAAAUUGCUGAAAAGGAAGCGAAGGAAACCAGUGUCAGCAUGGUCAUACUUCCCUAUUUGCUUGCAGAUGGGGCGCUGUGUCCAGCCUUGUCAUUGUUUACUGUACUGUCAGGAAAUGCACUAAAAGAGUUGAUUUUGGUUGC
rnacentral:rRNA from 1 species